CAUGCAAGUCGAACGGAAAGGCCCUUCGGGGUACUCGAGUGGCGAACGGGUGAGUAACACGUGGGUGAUCUGCCCUGCACUUUGGGAUAAGCCUGGGAAACUGGGUCUAAUACCGGAUAGGACUACGCGAUGCAUGUCGUGUGGUGGAAAGCUUUUGCGGUGUGGGAUGGGCCCGCGGCCUAUCAGCUUGUUGGUGAGGUUAUGGCUUACCAAGGCGACGACGGGUAGCCGGCCUGAGAGGGUGACCGGCUACACUGGGACUGAGAUACGGCCCAGACUCCUACGGGAGGCAGCAGUGGGGAAUAUUGCACAAUGGGCGCAAGCCUGAUGCAGCGACGCCGCGUGAGGGAUGACGGCCUUCGGGUUGUAAACCUCUUUCAGCAGGGACGAAGCGCAAGUGACGGUACCUGUAGAAGAAGGACCGGCCAACUACGUGCCAGCAGCCGCGGUAAUACGUAGGGUCCGAGCGUUGUCCGGAAUUACUGGGCGUAAAGAGCUCGUAGGUGGUUUGUCGCGUUGUUCGUGAAAACUCACA
rnacentral:rRNA from 1 species